GCCGGUGAUUAUUGCGAAAGAGUUAUACCCGACACCAUUCCGAACUCGGAAGUCAAGCCUUUCUGCGCCGAUGAUACUUUGUCUUAAGA
rnacentral:rRNA from 1 species